UACGGAAGGUCAUGGCGUUAUCCGGAUUUAUUGGGUUUAAAGGGAGCGUAGGCGGCCUUGUAAGCGUGUUGUGAAAUCCGGCGGCUCAACCGUUCGGACUGCAGCGCGAACUGCUGGGCUUGAGUUCCAUCGAGGCAGGCGGAAUUUGUGGUGUAGCGGUGAAAUGCUUAGAUAUCACGAGGAACUCCGAUUGCGAAGGCAGCUUGCCGGUUGGUUACUGACGCUGAAGCUCGAAGGUGCGGGUA
rnacentral:rRNA from 1 species